CCUACGGGAGGCAGCAGUGAGGAAUAUUGGUCAAUGGGCGAGAGCCUGAACCAGCCAAGUCGCGUGAGGGAGUACUGCCCUAUGGGUUGUAAACCUCUUUUGUCGGGGAGCAAAAGCCGGACGUGUCCGGCUGUGAGAGUACCCGAAGAAAAAGCAUCGGCUAACUCCGUGCCAGCAGCCGCGGUAAUACGGAGGAUGCGAGCGUUAUACGGAUUUAUUGGGUUUAAAGGGUGCGCAGGCGGAUUUUUAAGUCAGCGGUAAAAUCGUGGGGCUCAACCCCAUCCAGCCGUUGAAACUGGGGAUCUAGAGUGUGCGAGAGGUAUGCGGAAUGCGUGGUGUAGCGGUGAAAUGCAUAGAUAUCACGCAGAACCCCGAUUGCGAAGGCAGCAUACCGGUGCACAACUGACGCUCAGGCACGAAAGCGUGGGUAUCGAACAGGAUUAGAUACCCCAGUAGUC
rnacentral:rRNA from 1 species